AGUAAAAGUAAUCAUUAAAGAUGGCACUAACAUCAAAACUUAUUUGAUAAGACUCGUCGGAGGCGUCAUUUCAUUUAAUCGUAUGUCAACAACAUUUUGAAGUACUUUUAUUGUUUUAGAACGAGAUAAUCAUCGUAUAACUAACAAAUUAGAAAUAUCCAGAAACAACGUAUCGUCCGGAGAAAAAUCCCCAUCACGAACUUUGAACGGUGUUGUGGCGUCGAGAGACCCAGAAAAGGUCCAAAAGGUCAAAGUUGAUUUGUUCUACUAUCAGCGAUUAAUAAUAAUAACGAUAAUGCAGAAAGAGAGAAAGAGAAAAGUGGUGUCCAGACAAGGCCGAGUCCUAGCUCGGACAUUCCGGUAAGGCGUUAAUUAUACGUCAAACUUAUCCUUGAGAUUGGGAUGUGUGAAUUACAAAACUGUCUCGCACUAAUAUGUAAUAAAUACGACAAAUACACAUACAUAGAAU